rnacentral:lncRNA from 1 species
CUGAAUGCACCAUAUCAGCUGUGGCUAUUCACUGCUGCGUAUUGUUGCUAAGGUGUUAGUUUUCCACUUUAGUUUUUCAUCACUCGGCAUAGUUCAAAAGGGGUUUGCAGGAGGCUACAAGCCCAAGGGAUUUCGCUACAAGCCCAAGGGAUUUCACUGCUGCAUAUUGUUGCUAAGGUGUUAGUUUUCCACUUUAGUUUUUCAUCACUCGGCAUAGUUCAAAAGGGGUUUGCAGGAGGCUACAAGCCCAAGGGAUUUCGCUAAGUUCUUUUAUUUAGUAUGAUACCGUGGACAACAAUGUAAAAUAAUGUUUUGAAGGAUUCUAUGUAACUUGAAUAGUUGUU